AUUGAACGCUGGCGGCAGGCCUAACACAUGCAAGUCGAGCGGAUGACGGGAGCUUGCUCCUUGAUUCAGCGGCGGACGGGUGAGUAAUGCCUAGGAAUCUGCCUGGUAGUGGGGGACAACGUUUCGAAAGGAACGCUAAUACCGCAUACGUCCUACGGGAGAAAGCAGGGGACCUUCGGGCCUUGCGCUAUCAGAUGAGCCUAGGUCGGAUUAGCUAGUUGGUGGGGUAAUGGCUCACCAAGGCGACGAUCCGUAACUGGUCUGAGAGGAUGAUCAGUAAGACUGGAACGGAGACACGGUCCAGACUCCUACGGGAGGCAGCAGUGGGGAAUAUUGGACAAGGGGCGAAAGCCUGAUCCAGCCAUGCCGCGUGUGUGAAGAAGGUCUUCGGAUUGUAAAGCACUUUAAGUUGGGAGGAAGGGCAGUAAGCUAAUAUCUUGCUGUUUUGACGUUACCGACAGAAUAAGCACCGGCUAACUCUGUGCCAGCCGCCGCCGUAA
rnacentral:rRNA from 1 species